CGUAGGGGGCAAACGUUGUCCGGAUUUACUGGGUGUAAAGGGUGCUCAGGCGGUUUUGUAAGUCAGAAGUGAAAUCCUAGAGCUUAACUCUGGAACUGCUUUUGAUACUGCAAGCUUGAAUGUGGAAGAGGAGGAUGGAAUUUCUGGUGUAGCAGUGAAAUGCGUAGAUAUCAGAAAGAACACCAGUGGCGAAGGCGAUCCUCUGGUCCAUUAUUGACGCUAAAGCACGAAAGCGUGGGGAGCAAACAGGAUUAGAUACCCUGGUAGUCCACGCCUUAAACGAUGAAUACUAGACGUUGGGGUUAAACUCAGUGUCGCAGCUAACGCAUUAAGUAUUCCACCUGGGGAGUACGAUCGCAAGGUUG
rnacentral:rRNA from 1 species